rnacentral:rRNA from 1 species
GGGUCCGCACAAGCGGAGGAGCAUGUGGUUUAAUUCGACGCUACGCGAAGAACCUUACCUGGGCUCGAACGGUAGAUGUUGUAGUUUUUAUGAAAGUAGAAACGAUCCGCAAGGAACUCUAUCGAGGUGCUGCAUGGUUGUCGUCAGCUCGUGUCGUGAGAUGUUGGGUUAAGUCCCGCAACGAGCGCAACCCUUGUCCUGUGUUGCCUUCAGUAAUGAAGGGACUCUCAGGAGACUGCCGCGGAUAACGUGGAGGAAGGUGGGGAUGACGUCAAAUCAUCAUGGCCUUUAUGUCCAGGGCUACACACGUGCUACAAUGGCAUAGACAGAGGGAAGCAAUAUAGCAAUAUGGAGCAAAUCCCUAAACUAUGCCCCAGUUCGGAUUGUGGGCUGCAAUUUGCCCACAUGAAGUUGGAUUCGCUAGUAAUCGCAGAUCAGCAGGCUG